UCGGGAAUUUUGGGCAAUGGGCGAAAGCCUGACCCAGCAACGCCGCGUGAAGGAUGAAGUUUUUCGGAAUGUAAACUUCACAAGAACGGGAAGAAUAAGUGGGGGACAAUACCCCCCAUGAUGACGGUACCGUUUGUAAGCUCCGGCUAACUCCGUGCCAGCAGCCGCGGUAAUACGGGGGGAGCAAGCGUUGUUCGGAUUUACUGGGCGUAAAGGGCGCGUAGGCGGCGCAACAAGUCACUUGUGAAAUCUCCGGGCUUAACUCGGAGCGGUCAAGUGAUACUGUCGUGCUAGAGUGCAGAAGGGGCAACUGGAAUUCUCGGUGUAGCGGUGAAAUGCGUAGAUAUCGAGAGGAACACCUGCGGCGAAGGCGGGUUGCUGGGCUGACACUGACGCUGAUGCGCGAAAGCCAGGGGAGCGAACGG
rnacentral:rRNA from 1 species